rnacentral:rRNA from 3 species
CUCAAAGUUGGAACCUGCUUGGUGUAGCUAAGCCGGAUUGUAAACUAGAGAAGUGUUUUCCUGGCUGGCCGAGUAAAAAAGUCCUUUGGAACAGGGCAUCAUAGAGGGUGAGAAUCCCGUCUUUGGCUCGAGCAUUAGUCUUUUGUGAUACAUUUUCAAUGAGUCAGGUUGUUUGGGAAUGCAGCCUAAAUUGGGAGGUAAAUCUCUCCUAAAGCUAAAUAUUUGCGAGAAACCGAUAGCGAACAAGUACCGUGAGGGAAAGAUGAAAAGAACUUUGAAAAGAGAGUUAAACAGUAUGUGAAAUUGUUAAAAGGGAACCGUUUGGAGCCAGUCUGGCUUUCCUAUAAUCAAUCUAGGCUUCGGCCUUGAUGCACUUGUAGGUUAUCGCCGGCCAACGACAAUUGGGAUCGCGAGGGAAAAAACCUUUGGAAAUGUAGCCAUUCUGCAAAGUUUGGUGUUAUAGUCCUUGGGAAAAUACCUUGUGCUCGAUUGAGGAUCGCAGUGAAUGCCUUUCGGGGCAGGAUGUGGUGAGGUAGGUUUGCUUGACCUAAGGUGACUUUCGGGUUGCUUUAGCGAUGGCUUACUCCUUGCUUCUAUCUUUAUU